AUUCUUAACAUGAAACAGCAAGACAGUGUCCCAGUGGUAAGGGCCAGCGCUUCCAGGGGACAGGGAAGCCAAAAGUGCUCCAACUCAGGCAGAGACAAGGCAGCUGUAAGUGAAGUGCCAGGCUAACGGCGAGAUUCCUGGAUGAUUUUGUCAUUAGCUGUAAGGGACCUGUGACAAAAUCUAUACACACACAUAUUCAGAGAGAGAGAGAUGUUUGAAACAUCUGGCAGGCGACAGGGUAGCGGCUCUGCCCAGCGAGCACCGUUAGGCAAGGAAGGCAUGCCUGUGUGUCCUGGCUCCAAGCUCAGCCUGCGCGCUAAGGUCCUGACCUCAGUGGUUAGGUAUCAGAGCCAAGAAAUCCGAGCAGUGCCCAGGAGCACCUUGUUUGCUACAGUUCCUUAGGAUGGGCUGGGCAAAUAAAGUCACUGAGAGCAUAAAGUCAGCAUGAAAAUACUGAAAAGUGGGGAGAAACUCCUUUCCAAGAAAUACAAAUUGGGAGUCUGUGAUAAGCUAAAGCAACAUAGACGGAAACCAAAGACAUACAUCUUGCCUUUAGGUCAGCAACCGCCCAGAGUACUGAGCACAGGAGGAGGGCGGUGAAGGGGAGGUUAAGGCUGAAAAUACAAGCAGGAUGUUCCAAAUUCCACCGCCUUUUAAACCCCAGCUUGCUCGAGAAAUACCUAUUUUUCUAAGUCACAACUUGAGCCCAUAGGGCUGCCAGAUGGAGCAAGGGAAAUGCGGCGCGCAGUUAAACCUGAAUUUCAGAAAAACGAGCUACUUUAAAUGCAAGGAUGUCCCAAGUACCGCGUGGGACCUACUCGUACGGAGCUGCUUCGCGGUGCCCCAAGACCAGCCUCGGCCCGUGCCCGCGCACCCCGACCGACCGGAAGGCGGGGGCGCGGCUCGCACCUCAACUCUCCUUCCAGGGAACAGAGACCCCCAAUGGGGCGCCCCACAGGCCCCUCCAACGGAAAUGGCGAGUAGGCGUUCCCGGCUCCGAGUAGGUGGGCUUCGGGGACAACCCAGGGACCGUAGGAUAUUCCCUGCGCGGGGCCUCACCUCCGCUCCGCCAGGCCCACCGCGCUGACCCGUCAACCCGCGGACCCUGGGGCCCUACCGUCGGGGACCCAUCAACCGCCAGAUAAGUGCCCAGGCCUAGAAGGCGAUUGCUUAUUGGCUGAGUGCGUGUCAAUCAGCGGGGCGAGGGUGCCCGCAAAGGCCGGAAGGGGCGUGUCCCGUGCGGGCGGAAGGGGCGGUCCCGGGCAGCGGCCGGCUGGCGGCGGGGUUGAGGCUGCUCCCGGGAGUAGGGGCGCGCAGUGGGCAGGCCUCGCGCGCUUCUCCAUCUUCGCGGUGGUCUCCGUCGCCUGCGUUUGGUAGCGGCCGGGCGGAGCUGCGGCGCGCUCUGCCGGGAGCCCUGCGGCGGCCGGAAGCCCUGUCGGCACGCACUCGUCCGGAGCGCGUCGGACGGGCCAACGCGCGCCGGCGUCCUGCCCGUCGGGCUUAUCGCCCCGCCGCGGCGGCGGCUCGCACCGCGGCGACCGGGCAGAGCCCGCGCCUGCACAGCCGCCAGCGCCCAGGCAGUAUCCCGUCCCACCGAGAGCCUCAGGGCUGCGUCUUCAGGCUCGGCCGCACCCACGUGCGCAAGGACCGCGGCCCGGGACCCCGUCUAUCAGCCCCGCUCUCCUGGGCGCUGGCGUCCCUCCUGGAGAGAGCAUGACCGCCGAGACCGUCACCGCCACGGGAAAAGCGAUUCUCUUUCCCGGCGAUAUUAGAACGAAGGAGUUUAACCCAGAGAGCGUUUCCCUGGGGGACCCCGGGUGAUGAUACCGUGCGGAGCCGGUCCCUGCACCACUGGCCUCGCCUGCACGGCUGGAAGUGGGUCCGGCCCACCUGCAGUCACCACCCGAGCGGGGUGGCCCCUGGGAGGGCCGUGCUGUCCCUACCAGCUGCGCAAGGCACCAAUCACCCCUCUUAUCUGUUUUCAAGCACAGCUGGCCGAGCUGAGCUCGGUGACCUGAAGAUACUGUGUAAGGAAAUAGCAAUGAUAUUUAAUGAAACACAGAAACACUGUGUCACUUGUAUCACUUUGUGGUGCCCAUGUUACAAAACACUUGACAGGUCACUGUCCCAGACACCCGGCUUUGUUCUGUGUUGGAUUUAUGCGCCCUGGAGACUAUAUGGCCAACAUCCUAGCGUUUGUUGGUGGGAGAAUGGGGAAGACUGUUAACAGAGUCUGUGUAGCCCCAAAUGAUUCUCAUCCCAGAAUCAACGCGUCCACGAUUUUAUGCUGGAAGGAGUUUCAGUAAAUGUACACUUUCGACAAUGUUUCCUUCAGUUUUGAAGACACAUUUCAAACCUUUGGGAAAGAAGUGUGUCUCAUAGAUCACUUGGCUCCCGCUCAGAUGUGUCCUGUCUACAGCACCGCUCAUGACGAGCCCGUCUGCUGUGCAUGCCAGAUCAAAUUCGGGGGCUGCCUGCCAGGGUCCAGGGCUGAGGCAGUGCUGCCGUACUGGGUUCCUCUGUCCCUGAGACCCCAGAAGCAGAUACAAAAGAUGGUCUGGUCUUAUACCCUCCAAACCACUGUGGCCUGCCCCUGCCCCUGCCACUGCUUUGGGGGCCGCCUCCCGAUGCCUAGGAAUCAGGCUGUGAUGCCCUACUGGGUGCCCCAGGCCCUGAGGUCUCACAAGAAGGUGAAAAGGCAGCAGAGUUUUAAAGACAGCCAAGAAGCAGCCCUGGAUGCGCGUCCCUGGCACCGGUGCUGGCGGGUCUGCUGCAGCAGCCAGCGCCUCCUCAGGUGGCAGCGGCUCACACUCCAGGUCCUGCACCAGGGCGAGCCGCUGGGCCCGCACCUGUCACUCAGCUUCUGUCUGCAGACCCUCCUCCGGACAGUCCUGAGGGCCCUGGCGGCCUUCUGGUGAGCAGGUGAGGGACGGCGCAGGGCCCUCUGCCUGGGCUGCUUUGCCCAGGGGUCAGCAGUGUUUAGCUGAGGCAAGGGAUUGGAGAAAUGCCAUGAUUUCUGUCGUGUGGUCACCACCCAGAGUCUUUUUCACCCCACCAUGCAUGGAUCUCCUUCCCCAGCAAACUUCACGGGGCAGAUCCCGUGCCAGGAGCCGGGGGUCUUGGUCUAACCCCUUUCUUUCUUUACUGUUCCCCUCUUCCCAAAAGACUGCCAGUUUUGGUUUCUGAAAAUGUCUGUCAUGUCUGGCUUUAAGGUCAUCCUAGGGCCAGCACACCUAGGCAGCCCCUGGGGUCUGAGCGCCCCUUUGGGGGUGGGGACCUCUGCUCCCCCCCACCUGCCCUGGCCACGGAGGCUCCAUGCGGGAAAGUCCUUUCCCCGCCUCAGCCAGCCAGCCUCUCCUGCUCUGUCCCUCCCUCAGGAAGCCCCCGGGGCACCCCAGGAUGAGGCCGGGAGGGCCACGGCAGGGCCUCACCUUACUUGGCUGCUUCCUCUAGCCUCCUCAUCCUCCAAACCCACCCCACCCGGUUUGCCCACGACUCCAACCCAACCUCUUCCUAUUUGUUUCUUCAUCGCACUUGUAUGUAAAUGCAGGUAAACACUUGCACAAAUACAUGUAAAUAGAAGAUGUGCAAAAACACAUCAACAUGUAAAUGUACUUGACUUGGAUUUACACAUAUUCAUCUGCUUGCUUUUUAAUUCUUUGUCUCCUCCAUGUAAAUGUAAGGAAUAUUCUAGAACAUGUCCAGUAUCUGAAAACAGUUGUAGGUUUCUUUUGCCCAGUUUCCUAGUUCCCUCCAGGAGGUGAGCUCCGUCGCUGUCACACUGUUGGCUGGAAGCAGAAGUCCCCGUCCCUUGGCUCCUGCUUUUCCCCUCUCCUCUGUUACCUCCAACUCCCUGCGGUUACAAAUGACACCUGCAUGUAUGAGUGGACCUGGGCCCCAACCUCCCUGGGCACGUGCUCCCAGGAAGGGGGCUGGGGCGGGGGUCUGUGAGCUCUUCAUGGUCUGGGAACAAGGGGAGGGCGGCACUGUGAGGUUUUUCUUCUUUGCUUCGCAAAGGUUUACUCUUUGUUUUGUGUUGGCCAGCUUGCUGUCAGAUUUACUUGGACUUCCCUGUACCCUCUCUCUGGAGAGCAGAGAGUCCUGACUGUAGGUGCUGCAUGUGAAUGGCCGGGGCGGCUGAAAGGACAGGUGUUUGCUUCUGAGCCAGGCUCCCAGGGCAGAGCUAGUUAUUUUGGGUUUGAAGUUGACAUCUUCAACUAUGAUCAAGAAUAUCAGCAAAAAUGUCAGUCGUAAUAAAAGUCUUUAAUGGACAUCACCAAGUCAGGAGUCUGUGACAGCCACUAUUUUCUCAGAUCAUAUGAUUCACACCCAAGGUUCAAGCCAAAUCAUUUAUCAUCAGGUGAUUUUAGUUGCUGUGAAUGCGGGUGGUAAAAAUGGGGUCAAUAAAUAUUAUUUGUGAAACUC